rnacentral:rRNA from 1 species
GAUGAACGCUGGCGGCGUGCUUAACACAUGCAAGUCGAACGAAGCACUUUAUUUGAUUUCCUUCGGGACUGAUUAUUUUGUGACUGAGUGGCGGACGGGUGAGUAACGCGUGGGUAACCUGCCUUGUACAGGGGGAUAACAGUUGGAAACGGCUGCUAAUACCGCAUAAGCGCACAGCAUCGCAUGAUGCAGUGUGAAAAACUCCGGUGGUAUAAGAUGGACCCGCGUUGGAUUAGCUAGUUGGUGAGGUAACGGCCCAUCAAGGCGACGAGCCAUAGCCGACCGGGGAGGGUGACCGGCCACUAAGGGACUGGGACACGGCCCAAACUCCUACGGGAGGCAGCAGUGGGGAAUAUUGCACAAUGGGCGAGAGCCUGAUGCAGCGACGCCGGGUGAGCGAAGAAGUAUUUCGGUAUGUAAAGCUCUAUCAGCAGGGAAGAUAAUGACGGUACCUGACUAAGAAGCACCGGCUAAAUACGUG